UGCCUUACCGAACAAUAAAAACGUAAAUUAAGCUCUGGCAUAAAGCAACCGACAGAAAGCGUUACUGGUUUCUGAUGGACCAAUACGGUUCGAAGAUCGUUAGUUACAAUUUCGAGUGCAAAGAACAUGAAGUACAAUUUAUAAAUAAAUAUAUAUAUAUAUUUUUUUUUUAACGCAAAAAUUCACGUACGAGAUGCUUUUAUUCGUUUCAUAAACUUUUUCUUUGCUACUUGUCUUGCAAUUAUCGCACAUAAAUACUUACGGCAUCUUGUAAAUAAUCAGCUGGCCACGCAUACAUAAAAGAAAUACCAGAAGAUCCACAUACCAUUAUCAAUAAAAUCCCACAUAGAGUUAUAGUAAACGUUGUCAUUCCCAACACAUAAAGUAUUAUGAAGCGAAAACAACCAACCACUUCCUCGGCGUACCUAGAUAGAGGGAAACCGUUUACAACGAACACAAAUGUCUCAGUUAAAUCACACAUGUUUUCUGAAUUUCCACGACUAAACAUUCGAAUCUUACGGCAGCGAACCACAUUAAAAGCGCACCAAACACGCCUAUGCAUAA
rnacentral:lncRNA from 1 species